UACAGAGGGGGCUAGCGUUGUUCGGAAUUACUGGGCGUAAAGGGCGCGUAGGUGGCCUGUUAAGUCGACCGUGAAAUCCCCGGGCUCAACCCGGAAACUGCGUCCGAGACUGGCAGGCUCGAAUCCGGGAGAGGGAUGUGGAAUUCCAGGUGUAGCGGUGAAAUGCGUAGAUAUCUGGAGGAACACCGGUGGCGAAGGCGGCAUCCUGGACCGGCAUUGACGCUGAGGCGCGAAAGCCAGGGGAGCAAACGGG
rnacentral:rRNA from 1 species